CCAAAUGUUUGUCCGUUCAUCCUACUGCUGCUGCUAUUCACUCCUCGAGCAGCACAGCGAGAGAGACUUUGGGGGGAGGAUAAGGGAAAGAAUCAAGAUCUCCCCAACACAAGGAGGUGCAGAAAUAAUGAUGAGGACUAAACAGGAGACACCGGAAAAUGAGCUCCAUGCACGGCGGUCACCUGGAGCGAGGGCGUCCGCUGCAUAAAUAGACUGGAACUGGAGGCGGAGAAAGCAAAUGAAAACUGUGGCCUGGUCAGCAUGGAAUGCGCCAUUUGGGCAACAUCUACUCUGUCGAGGGGUCACUGCAGUGCCCAGCUGCUAGCCCACGUGCUAAUCAUAAAUGAUAUAUAUAAACCUCACACCAGAGUGACUUGUUUGCCACGCGUCAUGUCUGGCAAGGCGGUCUAUGGAUGGGCUAGACAGGAAGUAAGUCACAAACAAAGAACCGAACUGGAAAUUAAGAACGGGAAAAGAGGGUCAUGCGUGCUUGCGACUACCUUCGAGCACACGAGUAUUUUAGAAAUGAAAAGAGAUAUAUUUAAAUAUAGUGAGUUGUCCUAGAAUGACUCUGAACCAUAUAUUUUUUUGCAGUGAGCAUUGGUUGUGAGGGACAAGCCCUUCUGGGGCUGACGAGGUCAAGGCUGGCACCAGAACACCACCACAAAGGCUGCAGCAUGACGCAACGAGGGUGAAAGUCUACCGCCUCAAACGCAGAGGCCAAGUGGACCUUGGCACGCUCUCGCAAUAGGGUCUUGAGGAUUCAAGGAAAUCACCCCCACCCUGCUGCAGCCCAAGGCCAUGAUGCCGGUGCUCUCCUGGUUGCCUUUUAGCAAAUCUGGGGUAGAUUGUACGCCAAAGGUGGGUUAUAACGCACCUUCGUGGGACAGCAAAUGACACGUUCAUGAAGGAUGUAGAAUUGCCAACUGAAGGUUAUUGGCUCAAGGCUGAGAUUACUAUUGUCACACUAUUACCGUAAUGCAGCUUAAAUAAGUCCAGGAAAAUGUCUGCUAAUUAAUGACUCUUUUAUGCGGCAUUUGUAUAUACAGUAUGAGUGCAGAAUGAAUGUUGGUAUGUGGGAAUUCUUUGGUUUUUGCGCAUCCCAUCUUGCUCACCAUGAGACACCCGACUCAUGUGAGAAUGACGCUUGGGGUCAGAGAGCAAGGUCAGCCAUUUAUCCAGUACCAUAAGAGCCAGUUUAUUUGGUUAAUGGCCUUAAUAAAGGGCACAACAAUAAUUACUCUGCCAGCCAUGAGAUUUAGACCAGAAACCUUCUGGACAUGAGCAUAGACUCCUAACCCAAACACACAGCCCCCAAUGUAAAUGAUGUCAGCUAAGUGAUGGAACGCAACUGCCACUCCCUCAAUUUUGCUAUUAAAAGGGCACAUUUACUUUUAAAAGUCUAAAUUUGUUUAGGAAGGAGUACACCCAAAACCACAAGAAGACAUGCCGUAAGCUGCACGUCUGAAGCUCAGCUGUCUCGCAUUCCCUGCAUCUCGCAUUAAAGCCAGGUGCCUCCUAUUGCCGUCACUGGCACCCAAAGGAAGUAAACAGAGUAAAAUCUAUUCGACUGCUGCUGCAAAGACAAUUGACCGACUGAGUAACGUAGCUCAGCACCUCAGAUUUAUAAUUCAGAUGAAACUGGUGAAUCGGGGCUUGUGAAAAUGUGCUUAUUCAUGUACAGAGGAGAGCUUUGCAUGUUCGGACAGUUAUGUGUCUCACCGCUGACUUAACUCAGCCAUCCCGACAUCUUCCCACGAGGGCCAGCGAUUGUAGCAUCUCUGGACUCCCUUCUCUCUGGAGUGUGUUGA